rnacentral:rRNA from 1 species
CACCGCGGUUAUACGAGAGGCCCGAGUUGAUAGCCCCCGGCGUAAAGAGUGGUUAAGACAAAUUAGAUACUAAAGCCGAAUACCCGCAAAGCUGUUAUACGCACCCGAAGGUAAGAAGAACAAUCACGAAAGUGGCUUUACAUCCCCUGAACCCACGAAAGCUAGGGUACAAACUGGGAUUAGAUACCCCACUAUGCCUAGUCAUAAACAUUGAUAGCAAGCUACUCCUGCUAUCCGCCCGGGAACUACGAGCAUUAGCUUGAAACCCAAAGGACUUGGCGGUGCUUUAGAUCCCCCUAGAGGAGCCUGUUCUAGAACCGAUAACCCCCGUUUAACCUCACCCUUCCUUGUUUUUCCCGCCUAUAUACCGCCGUCGUCAGCUUACCCUGUGAAGGUCCCAUAGUAAGCAGAACUGGCUCAGCCCAAAACGUCAGGUCGAGGUGUAGCGUAUGGAGGGGGAAGAAAUGGGCUACAUUCCCUAUUGUAGGGAACACGAACGAUGCACUGAAAUGUUCAUCUAAAGGAGGAUUUAGCAGUAAGCAGAAAAUAGAGCGUUCUGCUGAAAUUGGCCCUGAAGCGCGCACACACCGCCCGUCACUCUCCCCAAGCUUAAAAACUUUAGUACCUAAAAACCCACAAUUGCAAAGGGGAGGCAAGUCGUAACAUGGUAAGUGUACCGGAAGGUGUGCUUGGAAAAAUCAGAGUGUAGCUAAG